UGAUUACAUUAGGAAUUAAAAAUACCUAAUUAUAAAAUCUUUGAUUCGGGAAGUUUCUUUCCGUUCCGAUCAAUAACAUACGUACAAUUUUAUGUUUAUUUGAUUUACUAGUAAAACCAAUUCCUAUGUUACGACAUCUGUGUUUUGUUAUAUGUUUAUUUAUCUACGUAGACGCAAACUAUGUAAAUAAAACUAUGACAAAACCUGGACGUGUAAGGUUCUAUCCACGAAAUUCAGUAUUUCGAAAGUCCGACCUCAUUGACAGAGGUUGUUCUGUGUUCUUAAAGGAAUGCCCAGCAGCUUACAAGAGAAAUACAGUAUGCGCCCGACACUAUGAUGGUCAAUACAAAACAUUUUCGAAUUAUUGCGUGCUUGAAUAUGAAAAUUGUAAUGCAUGGAGACAAUGGAGUAUGGUGAAAAAUGAGCGGUGUUGAUUGCUUUUUUAAAUUGUUAAGUAUUUCUUAUCUCGUAUAUAUAUCAAAAUAUUUUUUUUAAUUACUAAAACAAAUUCCUUUCAUAAAUAAUACAAUAAAUAUUUUAU